rnacentral:rRNA from 1 species
GGGCCCGCACAAGCGGUGGAGCAUGCGGUUUAAUUCGAUAAUCCGCGAGGAACCUUACCAACCUUUGACAUAUUUGUCGCGAGUGUAGAGAUACACUUUUCAUCUAGGAUGGACAUUUACAGGGUUGCAUGGUCGUCGUCAGCUCGUGUCGUGAGAUGUUGGGUUAAGUCCCGCAACGAGCGCAACCCCUUUCUUUAUUUGCCAUCAGGUUAUGCUGGGAACUAUAAAAGAUACUGCCGGUGUUAAACCGGAGGAAGGCGGGGACGAUGUCAGAUCAUCAUGGCCUUUAUAGGUUGGGCUACACGUGUGCUACAAUGGCGUCUACAACGGGUUGCGAUUCAGUAAUGAU